rnacentral:rRNA from 1 species
UUGUCCGGAUUUAUUGGGCGUAAAGAGCGUGUAGGCGGCCUGACAGGUCUGCUGUGAAAACUCGAGGCUCAACCUCGAGACGUCGGUUGAAACCACCUGGCUAGAGUCCGGAAGAGGAGAGUGGAAUUCCCGGUGUAGCGGUGAAAUGCGCAGAUAUCGGGAAGAACACCCGUGGCGAAGGCGGCUCUCUGGGACGGUACUGACGCUGAGACGCGAAAGCGUGGGGAGCGAACAGG